AUUGAACGCUGGCGGCAGGCUUAACACAUGCAAGUCGAACGAGUGGCGGACGGGUGAGUAAUGCUUGGGAAUCUGGCUUAUGGAGGGGGAUAACUACGGGAAACUGUCGCUAAUACCGCGUACCAUCGGAGGAGCCCAAGUGGGCUUAGGUCGUUGGUGGGGUAAGGGCUCACCAAGCGGACGAUCUCUAGCUGGUCUGAGAGGAUGACCAGCCACACCGGUACUGAGACACGGCCCGGACUCCUACGGUAGGCAGCAGUGGGGAAUAUUGCGCAAUGGGGGCAACCCUGACGCAGCCAUGCCGCGUGAAUGAAGAAGGCCUUCGGGUUGUAAAGGUCUUUCGGUAUGGAGGCGUUAAAUACAGAAGAAGCACCGGCUAACUCCGUGCCAGCAGCCGCGGUAAUUC
rnacentral:rRNA from 1 species